rnacentral:tRNA from 1 species
UGGUGUGGCUCAGUCGGUAGAGCAGCUGAUUCGUAAUCAGCAGGUCGGGGGUCCGAGUCCCCCCACC